UUUACCGGACGGGAAGUGCAAACUGUUUGUGAACAAAACUAUCAAAUUUGAUGAAAAGUCAACCGGCAACUUGCAUAAACAUACAUAUGUGCUUACUCAUACAUUUAUGUGGUGCAGUCAUCAAUGUGAAUAUGACCAUAUAGGGUUCACCCGAACAGUUAUUCUUCGUAUGAAGCUUUGAAAGCGAAAAAUUCAAAAAUAGAAGUGAAAAUUUCCGGUGAGGCAAAAGAUCGAAAAUCCUGCUUCAGUACUCUUAACUCAGUCCAGGUAAAUAAUGAAAUUUGUGACUACAUUGUAACGGAAAUGUUACCACUAUGUCACGUCGAAAAAGCAAGCUUCAACAAUAUCGGGGCGAUCUAUUAAUAUACCGUGCCGGAAAACAUUCAAGACAAUUUUAGAGAAGCGCAGAGCCGAGUAUGAGCAAAAUUUGACGAAUACUUUUAAAGAAGUGGCUUUUAUUUGUACGACAGCUGACAUCUGGAGCGCCAACAACAAAAGCUAUUUUGGUGUCACCGGACAUUAUAUUGAUUCUUUAUUAGCUAGCCGUUCACUUGUGCUCGCAUGUAAACGAGUUCGUUUUUCUCAUACCCAUGAACUAAUUGGAAAAAUUUUGGCAGAUGUUCACUCUCAAUACGGCUUAAAAGAUUCUCAAAUAUCCGGCACUGUUACCGACAAUGCAUCAAACUUUUGUAAAGCAUUUAAAGUCUACAGCUUCUAUAAAUUUGCUGGGUCAAAUGCUAUAAAACCUGAAUUUUUAGAGAAGUCUGAAAUCGAUGCUGUAGAGAUUGACAUUUGUAAAGAUGAUGAAAUUAUUCUGCCAAAGCACUUUAGAUGCGCCUCUCACACGCUUAACUUAAUUGUCACAAAAGAUGCAGAAAAGGCAUUAGAGUCCAUCUCAUUCAAACGUUUGUAUCACUCGUCUCUUGCAAAAGCGACGUCACUUUGGAAUAUUGUAAGCCGAUCAAUAGUUGCAGCAGACGAAAUUGAAAGCAUUUGCCACCUUAAACCGAUAGCCCUUGUGCGACCAGGUGGAACUUUUAUCAUGACAGCAUUAGCCGUAUUUUAGAAGUAAAGCAUCAUUUAAAAACUAUAUGUAUUACUUUAAAGAAGCCUUGUUUUACAGCCACAGAAAUAGAAUUUUUGCAGGAAAUGAAUUCUGUUAUCGAUAUUUUUGCAAAAGCAAUUGAUCUUUUGCAGGGUGAAAAUCGUUGCUACCUGUGGUAUUUAUUACCUACGUUACUGGAAUUACACACAAAUUGGAACAGUUAACUAACUUAGAAUUUUGCGACCCUCUAUCAGAUGCGCUUAAAUCUGGCGUUUACAAGCGGUUUCCUUUCAUUAUUAACUUGACUUCCGAUGAGGCCAAACCUUUUGUUUUGUCGACCAUUACAAUUCCAAAAUUUAAAUUAAAAUGGAUUCCAGUUUUGGAGAAAAGAAAUUUGAAAACAUUUAAGGAGUGGCUAGUUGAAAAAACAAAAGAAGGCGAAGAACAAUUUGUAAAUGAUAGUGUUUUGACCAACGAUUCAGAAGAGUUUUACACUUCAACUUCAGCUCUAAAGUCAAGGGAGGAAAAAGAUUUUGAAAAUUGUAAAUUUGAACUCGAUGUUUUAGCAUAUUUCAAUGACACAUAUAAAAACUUGACAUCAUUACAAAACUACAAAAGAAUCCUACAUGUUUUUUUAAAGUUUAAUUCUGUUCUCCCGAACAGAACACUUAUAUAGCUGUGGUGGUCAAAUUCUUACCCCGAAAAGAAACCGGCUGGGGGACGAAAUAUUUGAAACGCUUGUUAUGUUAAAAAAACACGAGUAUUAAUAAAUCCAAGAAAAGAAACCAAUGUGUCUAAGAAAAGGAAGCCAAUGUUACUUAUGUUUAUAAAUCUCAGUAUUUAAGAAAAGGAAACCAAUGUUACUUAUGUUUAUAAAUCUCAGUAUCUCAGAAAAAGAAACCAAUGUGACGAUCUUAAAAAAAGAA